UACAGAGGUCCGAGACGUGUUGGUUCGAUCUUGGGCGUAAAGGGUGCGUAGGUGGCGAGUAAGUCGGAUGUGAAAUCUCGGAGCUUAACUUCGAAACUGCAUUCGAUACUGCCGUGCUUGAGGACUGGAGAGGAGACUGGAAUUUACGGUGUAGCGGUGAAAUGCGUAGAUAUCGUAAGGAAGACCAGUGGCGAAGGCGGGUCCCUGGACAGUUCCUGACGCUGAGGCAC
rnacentral:rRNA from 1 species